AACCCCUAUCGCUUUGGCCCCGGAGCACCCAAGCCACGGUUCACCUACUUCCCCUUCUCCCUGGGCCACCACUCCUGCAUCGGUCAGCAGUUUGCUCAGAUGGAGGUGAAGGUGGUCAUGGCAAAGCUGCUGCAGAGGCUGGAGUUCCAGCUGGUGCCCGGGCCGCGCUUCGGGCUGCAGUAGCAGGCCACGCUCAAGCCACUGGACCCAGAGCUGUGCACCCUGCGGCCCCGCGGCUGGCAGCCUGCAGCCCCACCUCCCCGCUGC
rnacentral:lncRNA from 1 species